UACGGAGGGUGCAAGCGUUACCCGGAUUUACUGGGUGUAAAGGGCGUGUAGGCGGCUUUUCAAGUCCGAUGCUAAAGACUGAGGCUCAACCUCAGGAGUGCGUUGGAUACUGUGAGGCUAGACGGUCGGAGAGGGUAGCGGAAUUCUCGGAGUAGCGGUGAAAUGCGCAGAUACCGAGAGGAACGCCAAUAGCGAAAGCAGCUACCUGGACGAUUAGUGACGCUGAGGCGCGAAAGCGUGGGGAGCAAACCGG
rnacentral:rRNA from 1 species